rnacentral:rRNA from 1 species
GACGAACGCUGGCGGCGUGCUUAACACAUGCAAGUCGAACGGAAAGGCCCUGCUUUUGUGGGGUGCUCGGGUGGCGAACGGGUGAGUAGCACGUGAGUAACCUGCCCUUGACUUUGGGAUAACUUCAGGAAACUGGGGCUAAUACCGGAUAGGAGCUCCUGCUGCAUGGUGGGGGUUGGAAAGUUUCGGCGGUUGGGGAUGGACUCGCGGCUUAUCAGCUUGUUGGUGGGGUAGUGGCUUACCAAGGCUUUGACGGGUAGCCGGCCUGAGAGGGUGACCGGCCACAUUGGGACUGAGAUACGGCCCAGACUCCUACGGGAGGCAGCAGUGGGGAAUAUUGCACAAUGGGCGGAAGCCUGAUGCAGCAACGCCGCGUGCGGGAUGACGGCCUUCGGGUUGUAAACCGCUUUCGCCUGUGACGAAGCGCGAGUGACGGUAAUGGGUAAAGAAGCACCGGCUAACUACGUG